rnacentral:tRNA from 1 species
GCGCCAUUAGCUCAGUUGGUAUGAGCACGUGACUUUUAAUCACGGAGUCCUGAGUUCGAACCUCAGAUGGCGCACCA